GCCAAAGUGGCUGAGCUUCAAAGUGAGUUGCAGACAAAGCAUUUUGAAGAGAAAAUUUGGUAUACAGUGUUUGCCAAUCUAACAGACAAGCUUAAAAGACUUGAGAGCGAAUUGGAGAAAAACAUCAUGAAAGAAAACAAUGCCAAGAGCAAAGUCAAUUGUAAAGCAGCCGAAAGCUCAGCACUGAAAGAGAAGAGAAAAGUCAUCUUUGAGGACGAUGAUGCCUGCAGUCUAUUAGUUUUCACCUGCAGGUCUCACUGAUCACAACGUCAACAAAAUAUUACAUUUUAUAUCAAUAAUUACUUUCUUAUCUUGAUAACUAAAGUCUGUCCUUUUUAUCACAUCUACUGAU